GCCUGAACCACCAUGCCCUGUCUUUGUAGUAAAUCUUUAAAAUCUAGUGUGUAUUUUACACUUACAGUAAAUCUCCAUUUGGACUAGUCAUAUUUGAAGUGCUCAGUACCUACAUAUGGCUGGCUGGCUAAGGCUACUUAUCAGACAGUCUCUAAAUGUUACUUCAGAGACAUUGUUACUGUUUGUGAAACUGACCUAGGAGAAGUAGAAAAAAUAAAGCUAAAUUUACUCAAUUUAAUUGAUUCUCUUUUAUUCUGAGAUUGCCUCCUGUCUUCUUUUUUGCUACUGAAAUGUCCUCUCUUUAAUGCAGUGGUUUUCAAAGUGUGGUUCCAAAGAGUAGCGGCAGCAGCAUCACACGGGAACUUGUUGAAAAUGCACAUACUUGGGCUCUGAGACUCACAGAAUCAGAAGCUCUGCAGGUGGGCCCCAGCCAUCUGUGCCUUAACAAGCCCUCCAGGUGAUUCUGACACAUGCUAGUUUGAGAACCACUGCUUGAAGGAAAUGAUGGUAAUAAAAUAAGUUGUAGAGUUUAAUUAUUAUUUUAUAACUGUAAUUGGCAAAAUAAGAAAUUGGCAAUGUUAUGCCAGUCCCUCAAUUAAGACAUUUAUUUUUCUAUUGGUUAUGAAAUCUGAAAGCCAGAAAACCAAUGUUUUGGAGGUUAGUUAAAUAAUACUUUGUACUGCUGUGGAGAAAGUACAGUUUAAAAAAUAGGGAAAGAUUGGAAAAAUGAGUGUGUAUAUAAGCAUACAAAUGAGUCCCAGGAAGUCAAUGCUUGGUUCUCAUUAGUGGCACCUUUAUGCAAUUACUACUGGAAAAUGAAUACACUUACUAAACAACAUUGACUAAGAAAAUUAAGGUUUCCUAUGCAAAAUACUGAAAAUGAAUCAGAAGAAAAAAUCCCAUAAAUAUUGAUGAUCUCAUUCUCUAGUUCUCUGGUAAUUAGUCAAAAUUUGGCUUUUAUUGCUAUAAAAGUUGUUCUACAGAAAUUUUAAUAACUGGUCUUUAAAAAAUAAAGAAACACAACCUUUUGGCAAUUGUAUAUUUCCUCUUAGAAACAUUGCAAAGUAUUUAAGGCAAGAAUCAGCAUAUUAAAUUUGGUUUCUUCAGACAACUAAGGGGUGGGAGAAUAUUGAAAUGAAGUAGAGUAGCUGAAAUAUGAAAUAAUAUAAGGAAUUAACUGUGAAUGAUUGGAACCAAAAGAAAAUCUAAUAACCCAAAGGAACAUAUAUGUGUGCUCAGGGUAUUGGCUUAGGGGAGCCGUGGGAGUCCGAAUCUUAGAUCUUGGUUCAGCUUCUGUUUCUAGAUGGGAUGUUAGCCAUUCUAUUCUAAGGCUUGAUUUUUCUAAAUAUACAUAAAUUUAAAUGGCAGAGUAUGUCAAGACUGUUGUUAGUCUGUUGAUUAAUGAACCAGUAUUCUUAAAAUUUUUUAGAUUCCUGAGGAAAAUGGGCUUAAGAACUCUAAAGCAUUAUUAUUUCCCGUUUACAAGAAGUUCCUGUUAGGCCUACUUCAGAGGAAAUUCAGGGAUAUAAAGAGAAAAGAUGUGAUAAAAACGACCACUUCUAUUGUUCUGUGUGAAUAAGCAUAUUUUAUUCUACUCCAUUCUUGAUUACAUUGUUACUGGGGAAGUCAGCUGUCAGUCUCACUGUCUUUAAGCUGAAUACAGACAAUAUGGAGGCCUCAGGCUCAGAGGAUGGCUGAGUCUUCAGAUGGAGGGAGCUGCAGUCGCUGAACCACUGCAGUCAGAGAAGUACUCACAGACCAGGAACGCUCAACUUGAACUGUUACGUGACAGUAGAAUAAUAAACUUCUAUUUUGGUUUGAGUAA